rnacentral:rRNA from 2 species
UGCUGGAGGUAUCAGAAGUGCGAAUGCUGACAUAAGUAACGAUAAAGCGGGUGAAAAGCCCGCUCGCCGGAAGACCAAGGGUUCCUGUCCAACGUUAAUCGGGGCAGGGUGAGUCGACCCCUAAGGCGAGGCCGAAAGGCGUAGUCGAUGGGAAACAGGUUAAUAUUCCUGUACUUGGUGUUACUGCGAAGGGGGGACGGAGAAGGCUAUGUUAGCCGGGCGACGGUUGUCCCGGUUUAAGCAUGUAGGCUGGUUGUCCAGGCAAAUCCGGAUAAUCAAGGCUGAGGUGUGAUGACGAGGCACUACGGUGCUGAAGUAACAAAUGCCCUGCUUCCAGGAAAAGCCUCUAAGCAUCAGGUAACAUCAAAUCGUACCCCAAACCGACACAGGUGGUCAGGUAGAGAAUACCAAGGCGCUUGAGAGAACUCGGGUGAAGGAACUAGGCAAAAUGGUGCCGUAACUUCGGGAGAAGGCACGCUGGUGUGUAGGUGAAGUCCCUGCGGAUGGAGCUGAGACCAGUCGAAGAUACCAGCUGGCUGCAACUGUUUAUUAAAAACACAGCACUGUGCAAACACGAAAGUGGACGUAUACGGUGUGACGCCUGCCCGGUGCCGGAAGGUUAAUUGAUGGGGUUAUCCGUAAGGAGAAGCUCUUGAUCGAAGCCCCGGUAAACGGCGGCCGUAACUAUAACGGUCCUAAGGUAGCGAAAUUCCUUGUCGGGUAAGUUCCGACCUGCACGAAUGGCGUAAUGAUGGCCAGGCUGUCUCCACCCGAGACUCAGUGAAAUUGAACUCGCUGUGAAGAUGCAGUGUACCCGCGGCAAGACGGAAAGACCCCGUGAACCUUUACUAUAGCUUGACACUGAACAUUGAGCCUUGAUGUGUAGGAUAGGUGGGAGGCUUUGAAGCGUGGACGCCAGUCUGCGUGGAGCCAACCUUGAAAUACCACCCUUUAAUGUUUGAUGUUCUAACGUUGGCCCCUUACCGGGGUUGCGGACAGUGUCUGGUGGGUAGUUUGACUGGGGCGGUCUCCUCCCAAAGCGUAACGGAGGAGCACGAAGGUUAGCUAAUCCUGGUCGGACAUCAGGAGGUUAGUGCAAUGGCAUAAGCUAGCUUGACUGCGAGCGUGACGGCGCGAGCAGGUGCGAAAGCAGGUCAUAGUGAUCCGGUGGUUCUGAAUGGAAGGGCCAUCGCUCAACGGAUAAAAGGUACUCCGGGGAUAACAGGCUGAUACCGCCCAAGAGUUCAUAUCGACGGCGGUGUUUGGCACCUCGAUGUCGGCUCAUCACAUCCUGGGGCUGAAGUAGGUCCCAAGGGUAUGGCUGUUCGCCAUUUAAAGUGGUACGCGAGCUGGGUUUAGAACGUCGUGAGACAGUUCGGUCCCUAUCUGCCGUGGGCGCUGGAGAAUUGAGGGGGGCUGCUCCUAGUACGAGAGGACCGGAGUGGACGCAUCACUGGUGUUCGGGUUGUCAUGCCAAUGGCACUGCCCGGUAGCUAAAUGCGGAAGAGAUAAGUGCUGAAAGCAUCUAAGCACGAAACUUGCCCCGAGAUGAGUUCUCCCUGAGACUUUAAGUCUCCUGAAGGAACGUUGAAGACGACGACGUUGAUAGGCCGGGUGUGUAAGCGCAGCGAUGCGUUGAGCUAACCGGUACUAAUGAACCGUGAGGCUUAACCUUACAACGCCGAAG